GGAAGGAAAACUAAAGUUAAAAGUGGGUGAGUGUGAGGCAUCAAUUCCAAACAGAUCAGAUCAGCUCCAUUAUAUAUUUUUUAUCGGGGAGGCGGAUGACUAGUGCAACAGCGGCAGCAGCAGCAGCAGCUCUGCCACUCCAUUUCUCCUUGGCUUCAGCAUUACCAAUCACAAUUCCCAAACUAGCUGCAUACUCGGUAGUUGUUGGGCGUACAAAUGGUCUAAGGCUUGUGGGUUGUUGUGCUUAUGCAGCUAUUUCAAAAGGGCAAGGUCAAGAUGCAUUUGACCCUGAGCUUCGGUCAGUACUUGAACUUGCCACCGACUCUGAGCUAUACGAGCUUGAAAGAAUCCUUUUUGGCCCCAGCUACUUCAGCCCUUUGCUCAAAUCGAUAACAAGCAGAGCGGAUGUGGACCAUGCCAUGAUUGAAGAAGAUCUUGAAGAGCGACAAGAUUUUAUUGCAGCGCUAGAGUCACGCUUUUUAUUUCUUGCGUCUGAUGCCCGGUCUACAUUAAGGGGAUGGAGACCAUCAUAUAGAAAUGUCUUGCUUGAAGUGAGAAAAAAGUUGAACAUUCGAUGCUCAAGCAAAUUGUCAACUGAAGAUCUUGAAGUAGAAAUUUUUCUUCAUCUAUUGCAGGAAUACUCAAGCGAGGAAUCAAGAAAUUUCCUGAGCUUAGGGGACUUCUCUAAGACAUCCAAUGAUCAGGGCAGUCUAGAAUUUGGACUUAGUCAAUGGAAGCUGCAUGCCCUUUCUGCUAUGAAAGAGCUUCGGUCAAUGAUGUUGAGGGGUGGUGGCAUGUUUACUUUGGCAAAGAUUUAUGAAGUGUUAGCAAGGAGAUUAUCUGGGAAGGUGUUCUUAGAAGCUGCCAACUAUCAGAUGAAAAAGGAAUUCAUUAAAAAGGGUGGACAAUUAGUUGCUAUUAAUCUUGAGUCUAGAGCGGCCUUGCUUGCAGCAAAGCAGGGCUUUGCUGGUGCUGCAUCAAGAUAUCUGGGUUUUAGAAGCAUGAUGUCUUUACUUGGUCCAAUGCUUUGGGGAACAUUUCUGGCAGAUAUUGUCAUUCAAAUGCUUGGAACUGAUUAUGCUAGAAUCUUGCGAGCAAUUUAUGCUUUUGCCCAGGUAAUAUAUUGAUGCUAAUAUGUAUUUUGGCCUGUCACCUUGCCAGAUCCUGGUCUAUACUAACAGACAAAUCUAAAUGAUUAUACAUGAUGGUAGGUAUGAUAUCGAUUUUGCCAUCAAUCCAUGUUGACUUAUCGUAUUUCGUUAGUAAUCAUCAUCACACCUUAGGUAUGGACUUGAAUUUACCUAGUUUGGUUGUUAUUUAUUCCGUCUAUCAGGUCCUUAGCUUUGAUUGCAAGCUUUUCUUAAGUAAGUUGCAAGAUCUAUGUCAUGGUAUUGUACUCAAAUCGAAUGUUAAUCAUGUUAAAACAAUUGGUAUUUUAUGAAAAGAGAAGUGAAAAAGGGUUAUCCAAAUGAUAGAAUCAUAAAUGUGAAAAUCAUUGUUUGUUUGUUUAGAAGUAAUUUCUGACUUGUGGAAUGGUGUCCAGCUGCCCCUCCCACCCAAAAAAGAGAGAAAAAAAAAGAAAGAAAAGUGAAUCAUGAUGAAUUUUAGGUUUCUAACUGCUACUAAA